rnacentral:rRNA from 1 species
UACGUAGGGGGCGAGCGUUGUCCGGAUUUAUUGGGCGUAAAGAGCGUGUAGGCGGCCACGUAGGUCCGUUGUGAAAACUCGAGGCUCAACCUCGAGACGUCGGCGGAAACCCUCUGGCUAGAGUCCGGAAGAGGAGAGUGGAAUUCCUGGUGUAGCGGUGAAAUGCGCAGAUAUCAGGAGGAACACCGAUGGCGAAGGCAGGUCUCUGGGCAUUAACUGACGCUGAGGAGCGAAAGCAUGGGGAGCGAACAGG